CAGAAAAUAGUUUAAUAAAAAAAUAAAAACUUUGGGAGUUUUAGUCUUAGUAGUACUAAUUUUCUGA
rnacentral:tRNA from 1 species